GCCCUUAGAGUUUGAUCAUGGCUCAGAACGAACGCUGGCGGCAUGCCUAACACAUGCAAGUCGAACGAGACCUUCGGGUCUAGUGGCGCACGGGUGCGUAACGCGUGGGAACCUGCCUUUAGGUUCGGAAUAACUCAGAGAAAUUUGAGCUAAUACCGGAUAAUGUCUUCGGACCAAAGAUUUAUCGCCUUUAGAUGGGCCCGCGUUGGAUUAGCUAGUUGGUGGGGUAAAGGCCUACCAAGGCGACGAUCCAUAGCUGGUCUGAGAGGAUGAUCAGCCACACUGGGACUGAGACACGGCCCAGACUCCUACGGGAGGCAGCAGUGGGGAAUAUUGGACAAUGGGCGAAAGCCUGAUCCAGCAAUGCCGCGUGAGUGAUGAAGGCCUUAGGGUUGUAAAGCUCUUUUACCAGGGAUGAUAAUGACAGUACCUGGAGAAUAAGCUCCGACUAACUCCGUGCCAGCAGCCGCGGUAAUACGGAGGGAGCUAGCGUUGUUCGGAAUUACUGGGCGUAAAGCGCACGUAGGCGGCUUUUUAAGUCAGGGGUGAAAUCCCGGGGCUCAACCCCGGAACUGCCCUUGAAACUGGGAAGCUAGAAUCUUGGAGAGGCGAGUGGAAUUCC
rnacentral:rRNA from 1 species